rnacentral:rRNA from 1 species
GUUUGAUCCUGGCUCAGGAUGAACGCUGGCGGUGCGCCUAAUGCAUGCAAGUCGAGCGACGCACGUCCAGUCCGCAAGGACAGGGCAUGACGGAGCGGCGAACGGGUGAGUAACACGUGAGCAACCUGCCCCACAGACCGGGAUAGCCCAGGGAAACCUGGAUUAAUACCGGAUAUCCUCUUAGGACCGCAUGGUCCAUUGAGGAAAGGCCUUUGUGCUGUGGGAUGGGCUCGCGACUUAUCAGUUAGUUGGUGGGGUAACGGCCUACCAAGACAAUGACGAGUAGCUGGUCUGAGAGGACGAUCAGCCACACUGGAACUGAGACACGGUCCAGACUCCUACGGGAGGCAGCAGCAGGGAAUCUUGCGCAAUGGGCGAAAGCCUGACGCAGCGACACCGCGUGGGGGAUGAAGGCCUUCGGGUUGUAAACCCCUUUCAGGAGGGAAGAAAUUGACGGUACCUCCACAAGAAGGACCGGCCAACUGCGUGCCAGCAGCCGCGGUAAUACGUAGGGUCCGAGCGUUAUCCGGAAUCAUUGGGCGUAAAGAGCUCGUAGGCGGUUCAGCAAGUCGGCUGUGAAAGUUCGAGGCUCAACCUCGAAAUUGCAGUCGAUACUGCUGUGACUCGAGUCCGGUAGAGGAGAUGGAUUCCCGGUGUAGCGGUGAAAUGCGCAUAUAUCGGGAGGAACACCCAGUAGCGAAGGCGGUUCUCUGGGCCGGCCUGACGCUGAGGAGCGAAAGCUAGGGGAGCAAACAGGAUUAGAUACCCUGGUAGUCCUAGCUGUAAACGAUGGAUACUAGANGUAGGAAUUGGAUUAACGNUUUCUGUNUCGUAGCUAACGCNUUAAGUAUCCCGCCUGGGGAGUACGGUCGCAAGACUAAAACUCAAAGGAAUUGACGGGACCCCGCACAAGCGGNGGAGCAUGCGGCUUAAUUCGAUGAUACCCGUAGAACCUUACCUGGACUUGACAUAUAGGGAAAAGCUGNAGAAAUNUAGUGUGCGUAAGCGCCCCUGACAGGUGGUGCAUGGCUGUCGUCANCUCGUGUCGUGAGAUGUUGGGUUAAGUCCCGCAACGAGCGCAACCCUUAUCCUAUGUUGCCAGCGGUUCGGCCGGGGACUCAUAGGAGACUGCCGGGGAUAACUCGGAGGAAGGUGAGGACGACGUCAAGUCAUCAUGCCCCUUAUAUCCAGGGCUGCACGCAUGCUACAAUGGCCUGUACAACGGGCAGCGAUCUCGCGAGAGUGAGCGAAUCCCUUAAAGCAGGCCCCAGUUCGGAUUGAAGUCUGCAACUCGACUUCAUGAAGCCGGAGUCGCUAGUAAUCGCGGAUCAGCAAAGCCGCGGUGAAUACGUUCUCGGGGAUUGUACACACCGCCCGUCAAGUCACGGAAGUCGGCAACACCCAAAGUCAGUGGCCUAACCCUUUUGGGAGGGAGCUGCCUAAGGUGGGGUCGGUAACUGGGACUAAGUCGUAACAAGGUAACC